rnacentral:rRNA from 1 species
UCAGCCGCCAUAGGAUGGGUCUGCGGCCGAUUAGGUUGUUGUUGGGGUAACGGCCCAACAAGCCUGUAAUCGGUACGGGUUGUGGGAGCAAGAGCCCGGAGAUGGAUUCUGAGACACGAAUCCAGGCCCUACGGGGCGCAGCAGGCGCGAAAACUUUACAAUGCGGGAAACCGUGAUAAGGGAACUCCGAGUGCCCGUAAAAUCGGGCUGUCCAUCUGUUUAAAUAACAGGUGAAGAAAGGGCCGGGCAAGACCGGUGCCAGCCGCCGCGGUAAUACCGGCGGCUCGAGUGGUGGCCACUAUUACUGGGCUUAAAGCGUUCGUAGCUGGUCUGUUAAGUCUCUGGGGAAAUCUACUGGCUUAACCAAUAGGCGUCUCAGGGAUACUGGCAGACUAGGGACCGGGAGAGGUGAGAGGUACUUCAGGGGUAGGAGUGAAAUCCUGUAAUCCUUGGGGGACCACCUGUGGCGAAGGCGUCUCACCAGAACGGCUCCGACAGUGAGGGACGAAAGCUGGGGGAGCAAACCGGAUUAGAUACCCGGGUAGUCCCAGCUGUAAACGAUGCGCGUUAGGUGUAUCGGUGACCACGAGUCACCGAGGUGCCGAAGAGAAAUCGUGAAACGUGCCGCCUGGGAAGUACGGUCGCAAGGCUGAAACUUAAAGGAAUUGGCGGGGGAGCAC